GAGUGAAAUGAUGCUUUACCAUCUUUCGGGACUUACCCAACAAAUGGGGAUAACUUUUGUACUCCCUGAUCACUC